AAUUUUGAUCAGAGCCAAUUUGAAUGCACAUCGACAUCCUUUGAGGAGUUAGCUAGCACUACAUUUGGUGUUGAUACUGCACAAGAUACUGCUAGAGGAGAUACUGCUAGAGGAUCUGAUGAGCAUAUGGUGGAUCUGGACCACGUCCCGGGGACAAGAGAGAUACUGCUAGAGGAUCUGAUGAGCAUAUGC